UGUGGGUUUCUCCCUCCUCUUUCUCUCCAUCUCCUCUGGCUCCCCUAACCCAUCUCCCCCAGUCAGGCCCUCCAAAAACCUCCUCCCUUUCCCACAAACACUCCUCAAACUCAUUGGCUUAAAAAUAAACAAGAGUUGAGACUUGCUGGUAACCAAGGCCUUGACUGAGAGGAGGGAAGAGUCAAGGCUCUGUAACACUUAGUCUUCAAUUUCUUAAAUUUUUUUUGACUCAAUUUUCUCUGGGAUAUGUUUUUUGAUUCUGUAGAUUAAAACAUUUUAUUUUUCAAAAGUUUCCCUAAUGUAUUUAGAUAUAUACAAAUAUAAACAUAUUUUAACUGUUUCAUCUCGGAGAUAACAAUUAGGCAUAUGUUGGAUCUCUUGGUUUGUCUUUCUUAUCUUUCAUUUUCUCUCUGGCUCUUUUAAACCUUUGCUUAUUCUAACUUUAUUUUGAUUGAUUGUCUGAUAGAUUUCCCAUCUAGCUCACCAUGUCUUGCUUUCCUUUUCUGCAUCCAUGGAAGACACCCACUCCCCACCUCUCCCUGCUGUCCCCAACAACGGAGGUUCAUUUGACUCUGUGAGUAUGCCAUUUCCGAUUGGUUUUGCAAGAGGGUUAAAAUAGCUUUUUUCUGUUUCAUAGUAAAACUGGAAUUCUCCAUCAUAUUUUAAGUCUUUGUAUUUUAAAUAUGGAAGAGUCCAAAUUUUGGGAAGCGUCAUGUUGCAACGUGUGUGAUAUUUGGUAUUCUCUAUUGGCAUUUUUUUUGGCAUUUCAAGGGUUUUUUUAAAUACAUAAUUGUAUGUGGGUUAUUCUUUAUAACUUAGAUUAUCAAAUAAAAUGUUUUGAUAUGAAGAAAUAAUGAUGUGAUUUGUGAAUUCUUAUUCUCAGUUUUCCUUUUUCUAUAUAAAUAUAAUUUUGAUAGAUUUUACAUGAAACUCUUCUAAAUUGAUGCCCCAUCCUAAAAUUCUCAAAAUAUUUUGUGUUUUAAAACAUAUACAUUAAUAUAAGAAGACAUAAUCUCCCUUUCUGUGGUUCAAAUAUUAAGACCCAUUCCCAUCUCUCUUUUGUACCAUCAGGUGGUGCUAAAUAUGUCAAAAUCUUAAUGAUAAAAUUUUCAGGAAUAUUCUCUAUGUAUAGUUAAUUGAGUUAGGAUCUUUGGGUUGACUGACAUGAUUAUUGCAUAAAAAUUAAAAAUAGUAUGAAUAGAAAGUACAACAGUUUAAUGUCAUUACACAAACUACAGAGAUAUAUUAAGUAUCAACAGCAUUUUUAAUGUUUCAAUGUGAAUAGCAUCAUACGCAAAAGUGAGUCUGUGGCCAUGUGUAAAGAACUGCUUGUGAGUACCUUAUCCAAUAUUUAACACAGAAAUUACAUAACCUUCCUUCAAUAUCAUUUUACCCCUUUGUUCUUUGGUAAGUUAAAGUUUGCUUAGUUUGUUUAUCUAGCAUCAGCAUAUGUGAUUUCUCCAUGUCGUAUUUGAUUCGGGCUUAUUGCAUUAGCCUCGACCCUUGGAUGGAAAAUGAUUUCUGUAAUUUGCUUACCUGAAGAGCUUGGA
rnacentral:lncRNA from 1 species